UAGCGGAACGCCCUCCCUGCGGCCAAUCCUAGCGCGCACUCGGCGCAGCCCCGCCCCCGUUGCGGGUGGGCGGGACUACCGGGCAGCUCCGGACCGCCCUCUUUAACCCCUUCACCCCAUUCCUGCUGCGCUGUGCUCCGCAGGCACCGUCGGCGGUUUUCUCCAAACCUGUUUACAUAAACUAGCGUCGGGCUUCUCUCUUACCUUCACGAUUUCUUUCCUGCAGUCAUCUAGGAACAUGGGUCUGCUUGCAGCCAGCUCUUCUUCCUGGGCCAGAAAACCAUGAAGCCAAAGAGGAAGUCAACGGUUCCUUUGAGACCGUGAGACUAACAGUGUUCUGUCUUCCCCGUCAUUCUAAUGACACUGAGGAUGGACCCUGCCUCUCUUGUUGCUCAUCUCGAAGUCUGGCUUGCAGGAGAUGAUGCCCCUCAGUGGUGAAGGAUUCUCAGAGAAGGAGGGUUUUUGGCCCAUGGAAGCAAUCCAGUCAGGUGCAUAUUUCACGUGCAUCCCCCAUACCAGCAUAAACAGUUUUCUUCCUCA